UACGUAGGGGGCGAGCGUUGUCCGGAUUUAUUGGGCGUAAAGAGCUCGUAGGCGGCUUAGCAAGUCGGGUGUGAAAACUCCAGGCUCAACCUGGAGACGCCACUCGAGACUGCUAUGGCUAGAGUCCGGUAGGGGACCACGGAAUUCCUGGUGUAGCGGUGAAAUGCGCAGAUAUCAGGAGGAACACCGGUGGCGAAGGCGGUGGUCUGGGCCGGCACUGACGCUGAGGAGCGAAAGCGUGGGGAGCAAACAGG
rnacentral:rRNA from 2 species